CCGGAGCUGCCGGCACGCGCUGACCUGGCGCCCUUCCGCUGGCUAGAUUUGGUUCGGCUCUUCGACCCCCAUUUCUGUCGGGCACCAGCUGUGAUGUCGCCUCCAGAGUCUCCUAUAGUGGUGGCGUGAAUGGCAUGAGAAAGAAACGUGGUCAGAUUUAGUGUGGAAUUUUCCACCAUAUUGUGACGUUUGAACGAGUGGGAAUGGGGGAAACCGUGGAGGUUGUUGUGUCUUUGCAUUAAUUUAUGCCAUCAUUGUACUGUUCAAUCGGCCAUGUUGCCCUUCUAGACUUACUAAAGCUAAUUCUUCUCACUUUCUGUCAGGAAACUCUUCUAAGCAUCAACUCGUUCAUACCAAGAAAACCAUGGUGAUGUUAGUUUUCUCACAUCAAGAUUGAGCAAUGGUGGCGGAAGCAUCACACUGGAUGUCAAUUAAGUUUGUCCACAUGGUACCAGCUUAUCUUCUUGCAAAAGGACUUGGUUUUCUAAGAAACAAUGCUUUGGCAACAUUGUUUGCUUUGAGGUAAAUGAAAUUUAACUGCGCUUCCAAUCCUGUAUUGAUAUAUCCAUCACUUUUGAUUUUACAUUGGGAAAAGGUAAUCUGGAUUCAGUACCAAGCAUUUGAGGCCCCGCUCGGUAAAUGGUGUUUCUGUGAAAUCUUGAUAUUUAGUGAUGCGAAGGUUGCAAAUAGGUAUAUGAAGUUUUUUUUUUCGCUUUGCUUAAAUGGGUGAGACGAUAAAAGAUAUAUGAAGGUUGGCUUGAUGACACUGAAUAUUAAUAUAUUACUAUUAUCUUACUUAGAGUGAGCAAUGCUUUUUUAUUGUGCUUUACACUUUGCCUAUGACUUAUUUCUGGACUUAUACUUUUAUAUGAAGGUAUUUUUUUCGCUUUGCUGAAAUGGGUGAGAUGAUAUAAGAUAUAUGAAGGUUGGCUCGAUGACACUGAAUAUUAAUAUAUUAUUAUCUUACUUAGGUGUGAGCAAUGCACAUUUUCUUGCUUUGCGUGCUACCACCAAAUAUUAAUAGAAUGAAUGAGAAGUCAUCUAUUUAUCCAUUCUCAAAAUUGUUCAAAAUUUGGCAAUUAUGUGUCUAAAAGCUAUUUCAGUUAUAGAAGUUGAAUAUUUUCACACGCUCUUUUUUACCGCCACAGCGAAGCAUGCCUUCCCUCCUAUUCCUCUAAACUGUAUUGUAUGUGGGGUUAGCUGGAAUGGCUCUCAGCGAUUGGCUGCGUAGGUGAGGUCAACUGGUGGCCCUUCAUGUCGGUGUGUCGUGGUGGGCAUGUGCCAGUCGACAUGUGCUCCAUCGAGUAUUGAGGAAAUGCUCGCGUGGGGAUCCGAGCAUGUAGACGAUGGAGGAGGACAUUGG